rnacentral:misc_RNA from 2 species
UUCUAGCCCCGAUAGGAGUGAAAAUCCUUUUAUGUUUUUUCUUUAAAAACCAGCAGAUAGCGGGAAACAGC